rnacentral:rRNA from 1 species
AUGGACGAUAACCGAUGGACAAGACACCUUAAGACUACCAUCUCGCCGCAAGCCAUCCGCGAAUUCACAAGUCUAUGGGCAAUGAUGCAAGUUGUGGUUCUCGGUGAUCAGCAAGACACGGUUUCUUGGAGGCGGACUGCUAAUGGUGAAUUCUCCAUCGCGUCCGCAUACACCAUUCAAUUUGAAGGCUCUCAGUGUUCGGUUUGCAAGCAACUCAUUUGGCAAUCAGAUGCUACCCUGAAAUGCAAGACUUUCUCUUGGAUGGCCGCCCUGGGGAAGAUCUUGACUGCUGAUAACCUUGCAAAGAGAGGCUGGCCACAUAACCCACUUUGUCAGCUUUGUGGUGUUGAGCAGGAGACAACGCCUCAUUUACUAGCUGCUUGCACCUUCGCCGUUGACCUCUGGAACAUGGUGCUUCAUCGUUGCGGGCUGCCAAACAUGCUCGGACCAACACCCACAACCUCCUCGUUGCUUCCAUGGUGGGAGCGGAGCAAACAACAAAUCCCGAAGACCUACCACAAAGCUUGGAACUGGCUGAUCCAAAUCGUAUGGUAG